UACGUAGGGUGCAAGCGUUGUCCGGAAUUAUUGGGCGUAAAGAGCUCGUAGGCGGUUUGUUGCGUCGGCUGUGAAAACCUGAGGCUCAACCUCAGGCCUGCAGUCGAUACGAGCAGACUAGAGUGUUGCAGGGGAGACUGGAAUUCCUGGUGUAGCGGUGAAAUGCGCAGAUAUCAGGAGGAACACCGAUGGCGAAGGCAGGUCUCUGGGCCAUUACUGACGCUGAGAAGCGAAAGCAUGGGGAGCGAACAGG
rnacentral:rRNA from 1 species